rnacentral:rRNA from 1 species
AUACGGAGGGUCCAAGCGUUAUCCGGAUUCAUUGGGUCUAAAGGGUGCGCAGGCGGGCUUGUAAGUCAGUGGUGAAAUACUGCCGCUUAACGGUAGAACUGCCAUUGAUACUGCAAGUCUUGAAUAUGGUUGAGGUAGGCGGAAUGUGUUGUGUAGCGGUGAAAUGCAUAGAUAUGACACAGAACGCCAAUUGCGAAGGCAGCUUACUAAGCCAUUAUUGACGCUGAGGCACGAAAGCGUGGGGAGCGAACAGCAUUAGAUACCCCAGUAGUCC